UGAUGAUGGUGAGGUCAAUUUUUGAGCAUACCCUUAAAUCUCUCCCAAGCUUGGUAGAGAUUCUCUCAUUCUUUCUGUCUAAAACUCAAGAUCUCACUCUUCAAGCA
rnacentral:snoRNA from 1 species